rnacentral:rRNA from 1 species
AUGAACGCUGGCGGCGUGCCUAAUCCAUGCAAGUCGAGCGAACAGACGAGGAGCUUGCUCCUCUGACGUUAGCGGCGGACGGGUGAGUAACACGUGGAUAACCUACCUAUAAGACUGGGAUAACUUCGGGAAACCGGAGCUAAUACCGGAUAAUAUAUUGAACCGCAUGGUUCAAUAGUGAAAGACGGUUUUGCUGUCACCUAUAGAUGGAUCCGCGCCGCAUUAGCUAGUUGGUAAGGUAACGGCUUACCAAGGCAACGAUGCGUAGCCGACCUGAGAGGGUGAUCGGCCACACUGGAACUGAGACACGGUCCAGACUCCUACGGGAGGCAGCAGUAGGGAAUCUUCCGCAAUGGGCGAAAGCUUGACGGAGCAACGCCGCGUGAGUGAUGAAGGUCUUCGGAUCGUAAAACUCUGUUAUUAGGGAAGAACAAAUGUGUAAGUAACUAUGCACGUCUUGACGGUACCUAAUCAGAAAGCCACGGCUAACUACGUG